AGCGAACGCUGGCGGCAGGCUUAACACAUGCAAGUCGGGCGGUCCGUUCGGGGUCAGCGGCGGAGGGGGGAGUAACGCGGGGGAACGUUGCCUCGGGGACGGAAUAGCUCAGGGAAACUAGAGCUAGUACCGGAUAGGGCCUGUGGGGGAAGGGCUUGCUGCCGGAGGAUGGGCCCGCGUCUGAGUAGCUAGUUGGUGAGGUAACGGCUCACCAAGGCGACGGGCAGUAGCGGGUCUGUGAGCAUUAGCAGCCGCCCUGGGACUGAGACACGGCCCAGACUCCUACGCGAGGCAGCAGUGGGGAAUAUUGGCCACUGGGCGCAAGCCUGAUCCAGCCCUGCCGCGUGAGUGAUGAAGGCCUUAGGGUUGUAAAGCUCUUUUAUCCGGGACGAUAAUGACGGUACCGGAGGAAUAAGCCCCGGCUAACUUCGUG
rnacentral:rRNA from 1 species